AAUCAUUAAAUGACUGAAUAAAAGUAUUGAUUUUUUAAAUCAAAUAAUAAUAGUAAAACAAUAUACCUAUUUUUAAUG
rnacentral:tRNA from 1 species